rnacentral:rRNA from 1 species
UACGAAGGGGGCUAGCGUUGUUCGGAAUCACUGGGCGUAAAGGGCGCGUAGGCGGCUUGAUAAGUCGGGGGUGAAAGCCUGUGGCUCAACCACAGAAUUGCCUUCGAUACUGUCUGGCUUGAGACCGGAAGAGGUAAGUGGAACUGCGAGUGUAGAGGUGAAAUUCGUAGAUAUUCGCAAGAACACCAGUGGCGAAGGCGGCUCACUGGCCCGGUACUGACGCUGAGGUGCGAAAGCGUGGGGAGCAAACAGG